GAGCGGCGGCGGCGGCGAGCGAGCCGCGUUUUGAGGAGGCGCUGCGGGGGAUUCUAGAGGCUUUACACGGCUGUACGGAGAAGCUUCAACAGCCUGAAGAUGCAGUGAGGUUUACUAUUAACUGGGAUAAGAUCCAGUGCCUUCCAAAUGUGGGCCCUGCAUUCCUGUGCAGUCUUCUUCAACAACACAUAUCUGAUCUGCAGCCUCUUUUAGCUCGCCUCCAGUCAUUGUCUA